AUUGAACGCUGGCGGCAUGCCUUACACAUGCAAGUCGAACGGCAGCACGGGAGCAAUCCUGGUGGCGAGUGGCGAACGGGUGAGUAAUAUAUCGGAACGUGCCCGGUCGUGGGGGAUAACGUAGCGAAAGCUACGCUAAUACCGCAUACGAUCUACGGAUGAAANCGGGGGGAUCGCAAGACCUCGCGCGAUUGGAGCGGCCGAUAUCAGAUUAGGUAGUUGGUGAGGUAAAGGGCUCACCAAGCCGACGAUCUGUAGCUGGUCUGAGAGGACGACCAGCCACACUGGGACUGAGACACGGCCCAGACUCCUACGGGAGGCAGCAGUGGGGAAUUUUGGACAAUGGGCGCAAGCCUGAUCCAGCAAUGCCGCGUGCAGGAUGAAGGCCC
rnacentral:rRNA from 1 species